rnacentral:rRNA from 1 species
UACAGGACGAGCCAGCUGUUCGUCGAUUGACUGGGCGUAAAGCGCACGCAGGCGGACGCGCGCGUGGGGUGUGAAAUCUGGCCGCUUAACGGCCAGGCGCCAUCCCAUACGGCGCGUCUGGAGUGAUGCAGAGGUCGGUGGAAUUGCCGGUGUAGUGGUGAAAUGCGUAGAGAUCGGCAGGAACACCCAGGGGGAAACCAGCCGACUGGGCAUCUACUGACGCUGAGGUGCGAGAGCGUGGGGGAGCGAACCGG